GGUCGUCCGCGUCGGCCCGCGGCUCCGGAGCGUCGGCCAUGCUCGCACCGUCCAGAUGAGGUCAGCGGUCGCACCGUUCGCUCCGCCGACGCCUGGAAGAGCGGCGGCUCAGACGAGACACAUCAAAAUAAACAAACGUCUGUCUCAUCCUGCGUUCUACCAGACGCUUUGGGGCUCGUCAACAUGCUUUGUGACAAAUUCCGGCCUCUCUUUUUAUGAUCACUUGGCUCAAACAAACUCCUUGACCUUGGAGUUCACCUGGACAUCAAGCUGCCUGGAGAAGGUUCUACUGCCUUUAACAUGAAUAUACACCAUGUCACCAACAGAACGGGGACUUGUAACCACUCAGUUUGCCUGUUUAAAGGGGGACGAGUGUGAAGACCUGUGAUGCUGAUUAGAAAACACACCUUUGUUUUAAUUAAGUGAAAAAUUAUUCAUUUUUGUCCAGGUCUGUUUAAUUGGCUUGUUUUUCAAACCACAAUUCAAAAGCAAUGUCUGAUAUUUUGGUGGUUAAUUAUCAGUUUUGUCUGUGUUAUAAAAAAAGUAACUGUUUCACUAACUUACUGCAAAGUUGGACUAAAACCUGCUUGGGAGUGUGACAAAAGCCAUGAAAAGUCACUGUUUCCUUUCCUAAUGUAACAGGAGCUAAGUGGAGGACUCAUUAAAUUUCCAUUAGUGUAACGUAACCUGUAACUCAGGUGCAACAGUCACUAUUCUCCAGUGGCUCUUAUCAACAAGAGAACACAAACAUUUAUUGCAACAUAACCAUUUAUUUCACUCCACUACAAAAUUAUAUAAUAUUUCGAAUUAUAGUACAGUCUCCACAUAUACAUAAUGUACAUUUUAAAGAUAAACUCAGUAUGUGAAACAGAGCGUACAGUGUUAAUAGUCCUUUCAUAAAACAUACACUUUUUCCACUAGGCAACCUUUUGUAUUAAUGGAUUACAUGUACAGUAAUACUGAUAUGAAAAUAGAAUAAAAUCUAAGUCAAUGAAAUUAGACUGUUGAUUCCUUAUAGUGAUGAAAUAAGAUGAAAAGCAU